GACGAACGCUGGCGGCGUGCCUAAUACAUGCAAGUCGAACGAGAGCAACCGGUGCUUGCACUGGUCAAUCUAGUGGCGAACGGGUGAGUAACACGUGGGUAACCUGCCCAUCAGAGGGGGAUAACAUCCGGAAACGGAUGCUAAAACCGCAUAGGUCUUCGAACCGCAUGGUUUGAAGAGGAAAAGAGGCGCAAGCUUCUGCUGAUGGAUGGACCCGCGGUGCAAUAGCUAGUUGGUGAGGUAACGGCUCACCAAGGCCGUGAUGCAUAGCCGACCUGAGAGGGUGAUCGGCCACAUUGGGACUGAGACACGGCCCAAACUCCUACGGGAGGCAGCAGUAGGGAAUCUUCCGCAAUGGACGCAAGUCUGACGGAGCAACGCCGCGUGAGUGAAGAAGGUUUUCGGAUCGUAAAACUCUGUUGUUAGAGAAGAACAAGUGCUAGAGUAACUGUUAGCGCCUUGACGGUAUCUAACCAGAAAGCCACGGCUAACUACGUG
rnacentral:rRNA from 1 species